GGGGGUGUAGCUCAGUUGGGAGAGCAUCUCGUUCGCAAUGAGAAGGCCGAGGGUUCGAAUCCCUUCACCUCCA
rnacentral:tRNA from 1 species